rnacentral:lncRNA from 1 species
ACGACACAUGAUAACGUUCACAUUUGCAAUAAAAAGACUUAUAUGUGUUAUUGUAUAUCAAUGCAAUUUUUUAAUAUUUUGAUGUAGAUUUCAUUAUAAACUAAGGAAGAACCCUGCGGGAGUUGCGGAGUUGGAAAGCAAUCACAUUUUCACAAUUCCAUUUACAAAAUUCUCGUAUGGCAUAUAUACAUCUCCUGAAAUUAAUUUGUUCCUAAACAGACCACCAUUAACUUCUAUCAUGUGCUUUUGCUCCUGUAUAUGGAUUUCAAGAAUGUGAAACAUCAAUAAAUAAUAAUUGUAUUUUCAUAGGUGACAAAUUACACUUAAGUCAUUUUCAUGUGAUGUGAUUUGUGAAAGCAAAUGGUUCAUGAGUUUCAGAGACCAAUCUAUAUCAACUUCUUAAAGCUGUUUGAACAGUUAAUAUGAGCAGAAAGAAUAGAAACAUGUUUUAGAAACAUGUAAAACAGUAGAACAUGAGAUCUUCCAGCAAGCUUGCAAUUGCUAACAAUGGCAGAAGUAGCAUACAACUAUCUCCCGAGUCCCAUCUGCAUGAAUCCGAUCAGAAAAACUUUGAGCAUGUGCACUAAAAACCAUCCUAGGCCUAAAAGCAUGGAAGAUAUAUUCAGUUGCGUUUGGUGGAAGCAUUUGUGAUAAUUCAUAUGGUCCAACCCCAAUAUGUUGGGUAGAAAAAAUAAUAACUUUAUGUUAGAAUUUAGAUACAAUAUUAUAACUUGUAACUACUAAAAGUCUAAUAGAUCUUUGUAUUUCUUUCUACCUUGUUUUUAAUGGUUCAGGUAAGUUAUUUUCUGUUUCAUGCAAUGGAAAGUGAGGAAAAAGUACAGGCAGAACAUAGCAACAUGGUUCGGGUCUUGAGUUGUUGUUUUCUAUUUCAUGCAAUGGAAAGUGAGGAAAAAGUACAGGCAGAACAUAGCAACACCACGAAAUUAAGUGAGACAAAAUUAACAUUACUGGUGGGUGUCAACUGUCGAGACCACCAAAUAAAAAAAACUAAAUACGACAACAUACAAAAAUGAAUUAUAGUAGCGGUAAUAGGGAUCGAAUCCCCAGGGAUUGAUUCGAAUGAAAUCUAUGUAUUUAGUUUCUAUAAAAUAAAUUAUAAAAUGAAGGGGGUUUUCUUAUAAUAUUAAAUGUGAUAAAAACUAUUUUGCAAAAAUAACUAAAAUGGAAAAAUACAAAAGCUAUAAAAUAAAACGUUUCAAUAUUGGGAUAAAUCACAAGUUCAACUAUUUGACAAAUCAUCAUAAUUUUGUGGUGCAAUGGGUUUAAUGGAUACUAAUUUGGUUAUAGCAAUCUAAGAAGUUUGAGAUCACAUAGACUUUUCUUAGUCAAUACAAUGGUUAAAGAAGCUCAUAACACAUUUUCUUAGUUAAAGUCACAAUUUUCAAGAAGCAUGUAAUUAAUGAAAAUUAACUAGCAUUAAGAUUUAAAAGUCACCAAAUCCAAGAGGAGUCAAAAUCUUUUCACUAUUAUGUUGGAGAAAUUACUUUCAUGAUUGUGUGAAAGGAAAGCAAUCACAAAAGCCAUUUGUUGCUUGUUAAUUUGAAGACAUAUUACGUAAUCAAGAAAUUAAUCAACUAAUUAAAUAUUCACAUAUCUAAACUCAUGAUUAAAAACAUAUGAACAUAAAUAGAUGUUCUACUAUAAAAUAUUUUCAUAGCAAACUAUCAAAUUACUCCUAAUCAAUUAAUUAUUCCAUAGAUUUACCUAAUAUUAAAAAUAAAAACUAACUACACACAAUAAUAAUAAUAAUAAUGACAAUAAAAUAAUAGAAAUUAUACCAAUACUGAUUAAGAAAUGAAGAUGAUAAAGCUUUAUGAAAUCGCCACUUCUUGUUGCUCCAAAAAACUUCAUUUAUAAUCCAAGUAUUAAUACAAAAAAUUAACCUAACCUAAUCUAAUGUAAAUAACAAAUUACAAGAUAAUAAAAUCAAUGAUAAUAUUAUUUGAAUUCCAAAAAUAAGAAAGGAAAAGAAAGGAGGAGACACCAAAGGCGCCGUCACUCCCUCUACUCCUUCUGCCGGCGAAAUGAAUGAGAUGCCCUACUGCAUCUUUUGAUUGUUGUGCAUUCAAUUCCCA